rnacentral:sRNA from 1 species
GAACGAGCAUGAUGCAUACAGUUGAUGCGCAUGGCAGUUUUCCUCCCAGUUCCGCUGCAUCAACUGUUCCUCUCUGGAGGUUCAUACCUUCAAACUCAUGGGUCGCGGUUUUCCGACGGCCCUUUUCUUUUUUCUCU